UUCUUUCUUUUUAAUGGCUUCAUUUAUAUAUGGAUGGAGAUACAGAGAGAUGAGUAUGAGGCUUAUUUUCCCCUAGCUUCCAUUGAAAGUGAAACUGUAAAAUAACUGCAUUGACCACUGUAGAAUGAUGAAGGAGAAUCCAGGCUAGGAUGUGCAGAAGAGGGAAAAAAGCACUAUUGGUGAGGAUAGAAGUCACAAAGCAAAGUCAGUACUCUGACAGAGAAGAGAGUCUAAUCUGAUGUUCACAAAAAGUGCCUAGUUCACAUUUAGGAGUUUAUGCAUUAUCUUUUGGACUCACCCAGUGCUCUAAAAUAUGUUCUCUGAAUAUUUCUGCAUUUUAUUUAUACUAUGUAGGAUCUUUAGGCGCCUUCAUGAAAUCUGUUUUCUUUAGGUCAGAGAGGAUUUAUAAUAAAGUCUAGGUCUUAAAGAAUAUAUAUACCUGUUAGCAAUCAGAACAGAAGUAACAUUUUUACAUGCAAUCUAUCUUCCUGAAUGUUAGGUACUUCCGUAACAACAUGUCACCCAUUAGUCAGCGGCACCCGAUUUCGCAGUCCUUUUUGGAAUUUUGCUUAACUUAGCCUUCAAAAGGAAAUUUUAACACGUAGUCCAGCCGAUUUAUGUUUCAUAACCAAGCAAAAGGGCAUAUCAGGGUAUGGAGAGUGCGGAGGAUACCGACCAAUCUUAUCCGUACUGAAGGACUUCCUUUACCUUCUGUUUCCCCUGGGACCUUGAUUCAUUAAUUAUUUCACAGUCACUUUUCUAAAUUUUCAAUCCAUACUUUUCUACAAUAUACUCCCUUCAAAGGAAGAAAGAGAGAAGGGAACUGAGUGCUGAUCAUGAUGCAUUGAAAACUUUCUUUGUGAGAUGUUUCUUUUUUACAUCUUUCUAGUGUCCCUGAAUAUGUACGCCUGAGUCUAUGUCCACCAAGCUCAGCACAUAACAUAGUCAUUUCACAAUACAAAUUUGUUAGAAUAAGGAUAAAUUUAUGAAUCCAUUUCAAAUACAACUCCUAGAUACUUACAUGUUCUCUGGAAUUAUGUCCUCUUUGAGUUUGCAAGUGACCAGCACUGAAUUUUGUUUACCUUCCUCUACAAUGACAAACCAUUCAAGUGUGUUCAGGACUGAAGGAUUUUCCUGGCCUGCGAAAAGAAUUGUGCUAAGCUGGGAAGAGUUCCCACAUCACCCACCUAUCUUCUUGCGGCAAGCUUAUGUUUGUGUGUGUGUGUGUAGCAGCUUUCCUAACUGGUUCCCAUUUCUAUCCAAGUGCUUGUGAAUCACAACCUGUGUAGUACAUAAUGAAAAGGAAAAAAGAAGGGCACCAGAGUGGCUCAGUUGGUUAAGUGUCUGCCUUCAGCUCAGGUCAUGAUCUUAGGGUCUUGAGAUUGAGUCCCAUAUUGGGCUCCCUGCUCAGCCAAGAAUCUGAUUCUCCCUGUACCCUCCCAUCUUCUUCCUCUACGCUGCUCAUGCUUUCUCUCUCUCUCUCUCAUACUGUCUCUCUCUCAAAUAAAUAAAUAAGACCUUUUUUAAAAAAAGGAAAGGAAAAAAAGAUAUAUGAACUAUGCUGUGUUGUGGUGGUUACCAAAGUAGGUCAGCAGUAGCAGCAGCAGCAGCAGCAGCAUUUGAACACUUGUUAGAAAUGAAAAUUCUUAGGCCCCACAACAGACUUACUAACACAGCAACACUGUCGAAGGGGGAAGCCAGCAGUUUGCGUGUCAGCAAGCCCUCUAGGAGAUUCUGGUGCCUGCCAAAAUAUGAGAACCACUGAAGGGAAGAGCCUUAUUGCUGAGUUUUAGACCCUAUUUUGAGCUACAGUUUGCUCCUCUUCAUUUUAUUUUUUUAAUCUUUAUUAGGUUGAUUUGAGAAAAGAGAACAGACUAGUGGGAAGGAGGUGGAGCGCAGAGAGAGCAAAAGAAAGAGAAUUGCACAAGCUAGGGAAUAGAGGAAGAAGAAGGUUCGCACACUGCACAGGGGUAAACCUGAACAGGGGGCUAGACACCAGGGUUUUGACAUGGGGCUCGAUCCCCGGAACCCGGUAGAUAUGUGACCUGAGCCAAAGGCAGAUACUUAGCCAACUGAGCCACCUAGGCGCCCCCUCUUCUUCACUUUAAAAUGGAGGCCUUGGACUGCGCAACACCUAAAGGCUCUGUCACUCUAUAAUUUUGUUUGACCUCAUAGCUUAAGUUAUCUCAUAUGAAUGGAGUAAGGAAAAUACCUAUAUCAUAGGUUUUUCUAGCAAAUUUGUGAUUCUUAAGUAAGAUGUUUGCAGCACAUAAUACUGACCAAUAACAACAGCUAACUCUUUCAUAGUGCUUCGGGUGCCGACAUUGUUAUGACCUCGCUUUUAAUCUCCACAAGAACCCUAGCCCCCUAUUUUAUGAAUGAAGAAAUAAAGGCAAUGAGAGAUUAAGCAGUUUAGCCAAGGUCACAUGGCUAAAUAAGUGUCAGACUUUGGAUUAGAAUUUCAAACACCUGGCCACAGAGACAGUGCUUUUCAUUAAUAUGCUAUAGUCCAAAA
rnacentral:lncRNA from 1 species